AUAUAUACAUGGCGCCGUCAACAUCAGACAUGCAGGCGUAGGGAGCCGUUUAAAUUGUUCUUGUGAACGAUUUCCUUCUACAUUUAUGCCGACUCCUCCAGCCUAAAUCAGUAACUGCUUUAUUUCUCCCAUUAUGAAUAAGAAAAACAUUGUACUUACCAACUGUAGCGUUAUUUUAAAGAUAUACCUUAUACCAGGUGGAAUUUUGCUAACAUGGUAAUGGCUGAAACUAUUAACACCACGACGGAAACAACAUUGCAACACCAGUAAACUAAGCAGAUGUAAGUACUCCUCUCAUUUUACUUGGACCCUACAUCUAAACCGAGAUCUACUUCGAUGCUAUGAAAAAGAUCGUGAAGACCCUUCUAUCGGAUAUACCAAGCGGUUAAUAAAAUACUGAGACGGAUCUUAUCCCAACUUUAGUACCUUUACUGCGAAACAUCUUCGACGACAAGCAUCUUAUUUUAAGAGAAUAAUGACUUGCUCUCGUGACGUAAAUCGAUCUUUUCAUAACGCUAAAAACUGGCCAAAACCAGCCAGAAGAGAGAUCGACAAUAAUGUGAACAAACCGCUUCAAAUGUAACUGAGUUAACAGAGAUAAGUGUGGAAUAUAUUCGACUUAGAAAUAUCCCGAAACCACAGUUCAAAGAUAACUUUUCUUUUCUUUUUUUUUUUUUUUUCGAAACUAUCAUUAUGCGACAGGCCAUUAUUAACACGUUUAAGAGCAAAAUCCAAAAGCUCUGGUGUUGAAAGUUAUCGAUGAUGUCGUUGAAGAUCACAUGGAAUGAUGUGAUGUUAAUUACUGGAAUAUUAUUACCGUCAUAUACACAGCUGCCAUCACUUUUAAAGCACACCUAGAACAAAUCUGCAAUACACAUGGUAAUGAACCGACUAAAUGGAAACAAACAGUCGUUUCCCUGAAGCAACCUAGAUGGAAAACUAAACUAGAAGAAAACAUCGGCAAUCUACGCCGCCAUAUUGGAUGGUUAAACACGACAAUUAAAUGUAAGAAGAAUGAUGAAUUUACACCUCAUCAGUUACAUCUUAUAAAGAAAUUAGGAAAACUGUAUGGUGACUCUUCAUACCAAGCUCUUGAGGAGAGGUUCAUUACUCUAAAACAUGGACUCGGGUUUCUCAGCGAAAAUCUUCGCUACAGCAGUCGAAUUUUGAGCGAGUUUGUAUAAAUCACAGGUUUGCUUCUAAGCCACAGACAAUAAAGAAAUAGUGAAGGAAAAUAUUACCGUUAAUAAAUUCCCUCUCGCAAGAAGAUUUUGAAUCAUUUUGGUUGAAAAUCUCGAACGAAAAGAGGAAUCUCAACCUCAAUGCAUCGUGGCUAAAUGUAGUAAAGAGAGAAUGCUGCACCAACAUCAACAGUAAAAUAUAUGUUAUUGACCCGGAAACUUUCGUCAGAGCUGCAGGCAAGCUGCAUGAUAGGAAGGCACCUGGAGGGGAUCUAAUAGUUGGAUACUUGUAUAAGAGGCAGACAUUUUACAGGGAACCACUAGUAAGUAUAUUCAAAAGAACUAUAGAAGACCAGACUGGCUUGCUAUAGCACGGAUGAAUCUUGUAACUAAGAAUGAAACCACACCGAGUUAGCUGAAAACUAUUGGCCCGUUUCCUGCCUAAACCUUUGGUACAAAUUGUACGCAAGCUAUUUCAGCCAAUUCCUCCAGGGUCACUGUGAGUCCAACAACAUAGUGACUGAUUAGCAUGCCGGUAGAAAGAAGGGAGUGAGGGGAUGUGCCGAACAACCUCUGAUAAACAAAGCUGUACUGUCUGAGGUAAAAACACCUCUCUCUCCCUCUCUCUCUCCCUCUCUCUCUCCCUCUCUCUCUCUCUCUCAUUCUCUUUCUCAUUCUCUCUCUCAGACAGCACUUGCUAAACAACAGCUACAAAAAUAAAUACAUUAAAUGAGUGUUGGAAAGCGAAGAAAACAAUAUCUUACGUGUUGCUCCUCAGGAAGCACUCACUUCCUGACGACCUCCCAUACAACCCCAAAUCAGCCGAACGAGCACACCUCAAAGAAGAGCUGGACUUGAAACAUUUUGCAUACAAAAAAAAAAGACCAUACAUGAAUACGUUCCCCGAACACUUGAAAGAGUCAAUAACAUUGACAUGAAAAGAAGCCUCUCUUGGACUCGUGACCGAAACACCACAUCACACUUCGUAUACUAUGCAUUUGCGAUCCAGGAACCGAGGAUUGUUACUAAAUACCUAAGAGACAGUGAAGCCCUUCGAUUCUAAGACGUAGAUUAUGUCAUAUUCUUGUGGAAGUCAUCACACAGGUGACUAGCAGAUUCCAAAAAAAACGUCAGCAAGGUACUACGACACGACAUUGUCG